AUGUGGACAGUCACUUUUAUGUUUGCUCUUGUUCAGCAGCAGCUGUGUGUCUGUCAGUUCAGACUUAUUCGCUGGCUGAGCAUACAUCAAUUACACUAUUUGGAGCAUUUAAACAGGUGCGCCGCUAGCCUCUUUAGGAGAGUUUGCAUGCACCUGUUUCAGCGUCCGCAUCCGUCUGUUGAUUCACAACAUGCUGUAUUGUUUGCAACUUUAAUAACCACAUAAUGUUAGCGGAAAACAAGCAGGCUAUCGAGAAAUUAAUAAAUAAAGAGGCUACGCCUGCUUAAGUCAUACAAGAAUGGCAUAUUAGAUUAUAAAGAGAGGUUAUUAAGGCUCCGAGUCCAAAACACGAAAGACUUUUUCGCUAAAAAGCAACAGUGGAGUAUGAAUUGAAGACACUAGCGACUCGAGCUCAUCUUCAGACUUGACCCAGCUGGCAAAAUAGCACAAGACAUCACAGCCUGCAGGCUACAGUAAAUAUCGCCUUUCUUGUUCUCUCUAUAAGACCUGUUUUUCCGGUAAAUAGGGGGAACGGGUAAUUCAAUACACUUCCCAGGCAAUUUGCUUUCUCGAGAACAGGUGACAUGUUAUAUUGGAGUUGUGGCCCAGGAAUAAAUGCUCAAAUUAAUAAGUAAUGCUGAUGUUCUGAUAAUAUUUUUCCCCUGACUCCUCGGUGGUAAGUAGCUUCUUGUGGGUUAGAUGGUAACGUUAAACCGCAGAUGAAGUGCUCUGUAGCGUGUGGCGUUUCGAGAUUGUCAACAUGUUUUCUGUCAAUCAUGUAUAAAAAAGAAAAAAAAUUAUCUAAUAUAAUAAUAAUAAAAAUAAACAACUAAAAUAAAUAAAAAAAUAUACUAAUUAACCUAUGUGUGUGUGUGUGUGUGUAUAUAUAUAUAUAUAUAUAUAUAUAUAUAUAAAAGGAACAUAUUUCUAAAAUUUAUAAUAAAUACAUAUUUAUAACAUAAUAUAACAUAAUUUCUGAGGUAUGUAUAGAAAUAUAUAAUUAUAUCAUCAAACUUAAUUACAUUGCAUUACAUUUUAUAUAUAUAUAUAUAUAUAUAUAUAUAUAUAUAUAUAUAUAUAUAUAUAUAUAUAUAUAUAUAUAUAUAUAUAUAUAUAUAUAUAUAUAUAUAUAUAUGUAUAUAUAUAUAUACAUGUUUAUAUUUAAUAUAAUGUAAUAUAUAAAUUUAAUUAGAAUUUUUCCGAAAUUAUAUAUAUUCAUAAGUUUUUAGAAAUGUUCUAUAUGUAUAUGUAUAUUAUUAUUAUUAUUAUUAUUAUUAUUACUUAAUAUAUAGAAUAUUGUAAAAUACAUAUUUUAAAUAUAUUACACAGUUGUAUAAUGUCAUUCUGCAGGCCAUAUUUUAAUCUGCAAAUAUCUGUCAAUAAUAUAUAAUUAUAAAAAUCUAAAAAAAGUUACAAUUUGUUAAAUAAUAAUAAAAAAGUGUCAAAUUUAAAUCACACACACACACACACACUGACACAUUAAAAUUGUACAUAUAAUACAUUUGUUUAAAGUAAUUCCACAGGCGAAAUAUGAUCCGCAAGCAUCUGACAAAAGCAAACAGUAAAACAGCGGGCAGGCUCUGAGUGAAUGUGUCAGACACUUUGUGUCUCUGUGAGAUCAGAGAGCAGGUUGAUGUGAGAGUUGGCAGAGUAACAUGAAGCUUGAUCUGAAAGACAAAGAUCAUAGCUGUCCUUCAAAACUGCAACAUCCGCCGCGCGCAGGGGGACGAGAUGCUCAUCUGAGCGCCGCAGCUCCCACAGAUGAUGAGAGGCCAUUGUAAACAUAAUUAUUGCUGCUAAUGAUAACGGCAGACAGAUGAUGAGUUUUUUCUCAGCUCAUUUACCAUUGGCAGCUAUGCCAGGUGCACGGAGGGAUUCUCAUUCUGUAGUGCCGAGUGCUGUUUUUCUUGCAAAAUGUGCAAUAAAAUUUGCAGAGCCGAACACUAAAUAAACCACCGCACUUUUGGAGUUGGAAAGGUGCAUGAAAAGUGGGCUUUGUUGAGCAAACAGAAAAUGUGUGGAAUUAUGUGUAAACACAUUUAACAACUAUGAUUAUAGAGAGAAAAAAGCCCAUUUCAGACUUUAACGCCAUAGCCUUAUUCUCUACUGCUUUCACUGACAACAUUAAAUCAAAAUGGGCCAUUUUGCGUCUUAAUACAUGUUCUUAUUGUGUAUUACUCAUAGGUGCACAGUGUUCCAAAUAAAUAAAUAAAUAAAAAUAAAAUAAAAAAAUUGCCUUCCUUAUACUUUAGCAAAAUGUCACUAGUCUUUAAUAGAAUUUAACAGUACCUAUCCACUUUUGGCAGCAAUCAAUCUUGGUAUUUUUCUCAUUCAUUUUCUCCACAAGGAUUUCAGGAAAAAAAAGCUCUGAGAUGUAUCAUUUAAUUAUUCAGAUAAACCAUUAUUUGCAGUAAAAAAAAAAAAAGAAAGAAAGAAAAAGGUAUAAGGACUGUGUUCUUUUAUUAUGCCAUGACGCACUGCAAAUGACCACUGAAUUAAAUGGAAUGGUGUAAAACUAUUGUUUUAUAAUCAUGGGUUAUACAUCUAAAACAUUAAAGUGAAUAAUUUAUAAUAAAAAAAAAUAUUUUAUAAAAAUAUUUUAUACAAAAAAAAAUUAAGAAUAUAAUUUCUUUAAGGACACUUCAGUUUGGGGCUAGUAAGAUUUUUUUCUUAUGCUCAUCAAGGCAGAAGAUUAUAAAUACAGUUCUGUCAUGACAACUCUCUGCGAGAUUGGCAUGGUAAUGUACAUGACAAUGUUAAUGUAUUUGGUCUUGGUGGAAUAGAUCUGCUACAUUGCUGCAGCUGCUGCGGCAGAGCAAGUAUCAAGACUUGCUACUGCCAAUACAUCCACAACAUGCUGCUGUGAGCGUGUAGGAAAUACUGCUGCUGCACAUAUGAAUAACCCCAUAGCAUACAUGAAUCACCUUGUAGCAGAUCUAUACAGGUGGAGCUGGGGAUGGUGGAGGGUUUCUGAAGUGCGCUGCAGAACUGCUACAGCAAACAAAGCCAGGUAUUUGAAUUUUGAGCAGUGAGCUCAUUGGCUACUGAUACAGGAGAAAACCAAUCAGCUGUGCAAUGUGAUGAUGUCAUUAGGUCAGAUUGAGUUAGAACUAACAGACUGCGCCAUCUAGAGUUUCAUGCCAGAACUCUGUAUUAAAACAAUAAUAUUGUGAAAUAUUUUACAAUUUAAAAUAAUUUACCUAUGUCAACAUUUUAAAAUGUAAUUUAUUGCUGUGAUCAAAGCUGAAUUUUCAGCAUCAUUACUCCAGUCCUCAGUGACACAUGAUCCUUCAGAAAUCAUUCUAAUAUGCUGAUAAUGAUAAUUCUAAUAUCUAAUAAUUGCUUAUAUUUUUGUGGAAACCAAGAUACUUUUUUUCAGGAUUCUUUAAAUGAACAGAAUUAGUUUUUUCAAUUUUAAUGCAUUCUUGCUGAAUAAAAGUAUUAUUUUUUUUUUCAAUUAAAAAUAAAUAAAUAUAUAUAUAAAAAAGUAUAUCUAUUUUUAAACAGUAGUGUAUAACCAGUGACUAUAACAUAUUCUUUAAUCCUAUUUUACAAAAAUACGUCAGAUUACAGAAGUCAAAUAGAUUGCAAAAGGCAUUUCAUGAUGACUUCAAAGUUACCAGACUGCUGAAACAGAAUCUGUGAUAUGAGAAGCACAAUCUUUCUGACUGUAAUACCGUAUACCCAAGGCGCCGUGUUAUUUGUUGUGAGGGCUGCGCUCUCUUGCACACUUUAAUAUUGCGUUAUUAUUUCAUCUCAGCCUUGAGAUAAAGAAAAAAAUUCUCGAUUUUAUUUUAUGGGAUUAACGGCGCACUUUCAG
ensembl:lncRNA